rnacentral:tRNA from 1 species
GAAUAAGAAGCGAAUUAUUGCUAUCGGUUUCGACCCGGUCACUGGUCAACUUAGGCCCUUAUUCU